GGUCGCAUAAGCCUAACUGGUAAGGCAACAGUUUGCUAAACUGUGAGUAAUCGGAGGAUUCCGAUGUCUGAGUUCAAGUCUCAGUACGACCGCCA
rnacentral:tRNA from 1 species